CCUACGGGAGGCAGCAGUGAGGAAUAUUGGUCAAUGGGCGCGAGCCUGAACCAGCCAAGUAGCGUGAAGGAUGACUGCCCUACGGGUUGUAAACUUCUUUUAUAAAGGAAUAAAGUGAGGCACGUGUGCCUUUUUGUAUGUACUUUAUGAAUAAGGAUCGGCUAACUCCGGUCCAUCAGCCGCGGUAAUACGGAGGAUCCGAGCGUUAUCCGGAUUUAUUUGGUUUAAAGGGAGCGUAGAUGGGUUGGUAAGUCAGUUGUGAAAGUUUGCGGCUCAACCGUAAAAUGGCAAUUAAUACUGGUAGCCUUGAGUACAGUUGAGGUAGGCGGAAUUCGUGGUGUAGCGGUGAAAUGCUUAGAUAUCACGAAGAACACCGAUUGCGAAGGCAGCUUACUAAACUGCCACUGACAUUGAUGCUCGAAAGUGUGGGGAUCAAACAGGAUUAGAUACCCUGGUAGUC
rnacentral:rRNA from 1 species